GGGGGGCGUCGCCCCGAAGAGAAGCGGCUGUGGCCGAGCAGAAGCCCACCCUUCCCUGACGAGGAGGGCAAGUUGAGCAACUGACCUGAUGGUCCUAUGUAGAAAGCUGCAUGCUGAAAAUACUUGGAAGACAAACCACGAGCAAUAAGCACAAACCACGUUACAGCUUGUAGUUUGUUUGGAGUGAGACACUUCCAUAAGGAGGCUGAAGAGAAGCAGGAGAGUUUUGCCAAUUGCUUCUCCACCCCAUAGCCGAUUGUUCCACCCGAAAAGCUGCUCUGGUGAAUCUCCAGGACACCCGUAAGAAGUGGUCCUGGAGGGUGCAGAGGGAAUUGCCUCGGACUGUAUUUUCGUUUCAUUUUUUAAAAAUUUAUUUCUAACCCACUCCAAAUCCCUCUUAUGGGUUCACACUUUAAAACCACAUAACAACAACAAACAGCGGGGCUGGUUCAGUGAUACUAAUCCGCGUUACGCACACUGGAUAGGAAUAAGAAGACUCUUAAGUUCUCCCUUAAUGGCAGAACACAAAGAUACACCACCAGAAGAAACCCGUGCUGCUGAACUGGCAGGCAAUGGCACCAGUACUUAACUACCACUGGUGGAGCAAUAUCAGCACAAUCAGUAAGAAGUGAGCAGUGGGAGCAUUGCAGGUGAAUCUCCAAUUGCCCAUGUGGAGUAUUAUUAAGAGAGUAUAGAACUGACAAAGGCAUACAGAAUGGAGGAGUAUAUGGAUGGUGGCACCUAUUCACAUAGUGAAUAAGCACCCAAUCGCAACUCUUUAUUUUCCAUUCUUCUCACACUCGGUCCUGUGUCGCUGCCACAAUAACCCAUCAGAGCUUGACGUCUGCAUGUUGCCCAUGGCUUUGCCAUGAGGAACAAGCAAAGUUGGGGCAAGGGACCAUUGCUCACUGUCUUCUGACUCUGCUCACGGCUACUGCUGGUGUAUUAAACCAAGCACAGGUCUACAUUAAUCAAACUGAUACUAACAACAACAACAAAACCCCCCCAAAUGAAACAAAUGUGAAGUUGAUGGGAUGAAGGAGGCAGUGGCAAAACAAAAGGCAUUCUAGGAAAUGGUUGGUUCUGUUACCUGAAAUAACAGAAUUGUAGAGUUGGAAGUGGACCACACGGGUCGUCUGUUCCAAUCUCCUGCAAUGCAGGAAUCUUUUGCUCAACGUGGGGCUUGAACCCACAACCCUGAGAUUUAAGAGUCUCAUGCAGAGGCCAUUGGUCCUUGAACGACUCCCUAUGGUGGCAACACUGUAGGCUUAAUGGCUAUGCGAGAGCCUACCACUCACCCCAAGCAGUAGCAGCCAUUGUCACCUCUCUUCUCUGUAUGGUUACCCAGGAGCAGUGAACUUUGGACAAAAGUUUUCCCAAAUUUGCCAUCUUUAAACUGCAUCACCUAUUCACUGCCAGCAACAGAAUGGCCUUGUUCUGCACUAUUAUGUUACUUGAACUGAAGGCUGUAUGAAAUAAAGCUGUGAGGAGACCAGCUUUCUCAAAGGUCCAAUGUUUAUUUCCUAUAUAAUCACAAUCACAACAAAGGAAUUAGAGCGAUUAAAAGAGAUUAAACAUUUCCUGGUAAUAGCAUCACACCAAUGGCUUAAACACUGGCAAAUGGAGUACGCUAUCAGUUGUAGCUAGCCUGGUGUGUAAGGGACAAAUAACAAACUGCUUUUAUAAACCAUGAAAUGGUAUUGUUUGUGUUUUGACACAUUGAGGUCAAGCUGGAAUAUAAGCAUGCAGUAGCUAAUAGAUACUUCAGCUCUUUAGAAAUUAUAUAAAGCAGAGGUGUCAAACACAUUAGCAGGAAGGCUAUCUUCCCCAUGCUGAUACAGACAUAAAAUCGUCAUUCGCAAAAGGCAAAUGUCUCAUUCCAGUUGAAUUUUCAAGCACAGCAAAGCUAAAGAAACUAUUACCGUGUCUUCAUGUGCAGCAACUAUUUGUCUGAAUUUUCUCCCCCAUUGCCUGUGACCCUACUCAUUUUUUUAUUAUCAUUGAUUGCCUUGCAUUGCAAACUUAAAUAUAUACCGUAUUUUUCGCUCCAUAAGACACACUUUUUCCCACCUAAAAAGUAA